GAUGAACGCUGGCGGCGUGCCUAAUACAUGCAAGUCGAACGCACUGUGGUUGAAAUGAUAUGAAGAACUUGUUCAGAUUUGAUUUUCAACAUUGCAAUGAGUGGCGAACGGGUGAGUAACACGUGGGAAACCUACCUCUUAGCAGGGGAUAACAUUUGGAAACAAAUGCUAAUACCGUAUAAUAAUUAAAACCGCAUGGUUUUAGUUUAAAAGAUGGUCUUGCUAUCACUAAGAGAUGGUCCCGCGGUGUAUUAGUUAGUUGGUGAGGUAAUGGGGCUCACCAAGACAAUGAUACAUAGCCGAGUUGAGAGACUGACCGGCCACAAUGGGACUGAGACACGGCCCAUACUCCUACGGAGGCAGCAGUAGGGAAGUCUUCCACAAUGGACGAAAGUACUGAUGGAGCGAACGCCGCGUGUGUGAUGAA
rnacentral:rRNA from 1 species